AACGAACGCUGGCGGCAUGCCUAACACAUGCAAGUCGAACGAGACCUUCGGGUCUAGUGGCGCACGGGUGCGUAACGCGUGGGAACCUGCCCUUAGGUUCGGAAUAACUCCCCGAAAGGGGUGCUAAUACCGGAUAAUGUCUUCGGGCCAAAGAUUUAUCGCCUUUGGAUGGGCCCGGGUUGGAUUAGCUGGUUGGUAGGGUAAAAGCCUAGCAAGGCGACGAUCCAUAGCUGGUGUGAGAGGAUGAUCAGCCACACUGGGACUGAGACACGGCCCAGACUCCUAGGGGACGGAGCAGUGGGGAAUAUUGGACAAUGGGCGAAAGCCUGAUCCAGCAAUGCCGCGUGAGUGAUGAAGGCCGUAGGGUUGUAAAGCUCCUUUACCCGGGAUGAUAAUGACAGUACCGGGAGAAUAAGCUCCGGCUAACUACGUG
rnacentral:rRNA from 1 species